rnacentral:rRNA from 1 species
UACGUAGGGUGCGAGCGUUGUCCGGAAUUAUUGGGCGUAAAGAGCUUGUAGGCGGUUUGUCGCGUCUGCUGUGAAAAUCCGGGGCUCAACUCCGGACUUGCAGUGGGUACGGGCAGGCUAGAGUGCGGUAGGGGAGACUGGAAUUCCUGGUGUAGCGGUGGAAUGCGCAGAUAUCAGGAGGAACACCGAUGGCGAAGGCAGGUCUCUGGGCCACUACUGACGCUGAGAAGCGAAAGCCAGGGGAGCAAACGGG